rnacentral:rRNA from 1 species
AGGCUUAACACAUGCAAGUCGAACGGGCACCUUCGGGUGUCAGUGGCAGACGGGUGAGUAACACGUGGGAACAUACCCUUCGGUUCGGAACAACUCAGGGAAACUUGAGCUAAUACCGGAUACGCCCUUACGGGGAAAGAUUUAUUGCCGAAGGAUUGGCCCGCGUCUGAUUAGCUAGUUGGUGAGGUAACGGCUCACCAAGGCGACGAUCAGUAGCUGGUCUGAGAGGAUGAUCAGCCACACUGGGACUGAGACACGGCCCAGACUCCUACGGGAGGCAGCAGUGGGGAAUAUUGGACAAUGGGCGAAAGCCUGAUCCAGCCAUGCCGCGUGAGUGAUGAAGGCCUUAGGGUUGUAAAGCUCUUUCGACGGGGACGAUAAUGACGGUACCCGUAGAAGAAGCCCCGGCUAACCUCGUGCCAGCAGCCGCGGUAAUACGAAGGGGGCUAGCGUUGCUCGGAAUCACUGGGCGUAAAGGGCGCGUAGGCGGCCAUUCAAGUCAGAGGUGAAAGCCCAAGGCUCAACCUUGGAAUUGCCUUUGAUACUGUUUGGCUUGAGACCGGAAGAGGUAAGUGGAACUGCGAGUGUAGAGGUGAAAUUCGUAGAUAUUCGCAAGAACACCAGUGGCGAAGGCGGCUUACUGGUCCGGUUCUGACGCUGAGGCGCGAAAGCGUGG